rnacentral:rRNA from 1 species
GCAUAUCAAUAAGCGGAGGAAAAGAAACUAACAAGGAUUCCCCUAGUAACGGCGAGUGAAGCGGGAAAAGCUCAAAUUUUAAAUCUGGUAGGACUCCCUAUCCGAGUUGUAGUUUCAAGAGACGUUUUCGGUUCGCGCCUGGGUAUAAGUCCUUUGGAACAGGGCAUCAUAGAGGGUGAGAAUCCCGUUUAUGACCCGGAGCGGCGGACUAUGUGAUACGUUUUCAAAGAGUCAGGUUGUUUGGGAAUGCAGCCUAAAAUGGGUGGUAAAUUUCAUCUAAAGCUAAAUAUUGGCGAGAGACCGAUAGCGAACAAGUACCGUGAGGGAAAGAUGAAAAGAACUUUGAAAAGAGAGUUAAACAGUACGUGAAAUUGUUGAAAGGGAAACGUUUGAAAUCAGUCAUGUAGGCGAGUAAUCAGCUUGGCUUUUUGCCUUGUGCACUUUCUCGUUCGCAGGUCAGCGUCAGUUUUGAUACAGUCGGAUAAAAGCCAAGGGAAUGUGGCCUCUCUCGGGGGGUGUUAUAGCCCUGGUUAAUACGAUGGUUAAGACUGAGGUCUGCAGCCAAUACUCUUUAUUGGGUUGGGUGUUAUUUUAGCUCGUAGGUAACCGAGUCUAGACAGCUUGCUGACUAGGUCCGUCUUAUUUGCGACUUGGAGUUUUCUACCACAAAUUGGCUUAGGUCGCUGACUUAAUGGUUUUAAAUGACCCGUCUUGAAACACGGACCAAGGAGUCUAACAUAUAUGCGAGUGUUUGGGUGGCAAACCCAUUCGCGUAAUGAAAGUGAAUGUAGGUGAGAUCCCUUUUUUUUAUUUAAGAGGUGAGCAUCAUCGACCGA